rnacentral:lncRNA from 1 species
UCUUUUAAAGGUUGACAUCAAUUCGUUCCAAAUUUACACUCUCCGGACACAAUAGAACAAUAUAAUUAGCUUUUACUCUCUGUUCGAUUAAAUGAGAAAUAGUACUCGUUGCAAUAUUAUACUGUUAGGGCGCAUCUGAGUAGUCUCCUUUUGUUCCGGUUUUGGUGUUUUUGAAGGUUGAUAUCCAUUCGUACCAUAUUUACACUCUCGCGGUAUAAUAGAACAAUAUAAUUAGAUUUUACUCUUUGUUCGAUUGAAUAAGAAAAAGUACUCGUUGCAAAGUUAUACUGUUAGGGCGCAACUGAGUAGUCUAUUUUUGUUCCAGUUUUGGUUCUUGUGAAUGUUGACAUCGAUUCGUUCCAAAUUUACACUCUCGGGACACAAUAGAACAAUAUAAUUAGCUUUAACUCUUUAUUGUAUUAAAUGAGAAAAAGUACUCGUUGCAAAGUUAUACUGUUGGGGUGCAACUGAGUAGUCUUUUUUUGUUCCGGUUUUGGUUCUUUUAAAGGUUGACAUCAAUUCGUUCCAUAUUUACACUCUCGGGGUAUAAUAGAACAAUAUAAUUAGCUUUUACUCUUUGUUCGAUUGAAUGAUAAAAAGUACUCGUUACAAAGUUAUACAGUUAGGGCGUAACUGAGUAGUCUACAUUUGUUCCGGUUUAGGUUCUUUUGAAAGUUGACAUCCAUUCGUUCCAAAUUUACACUCCCAGGUCACAAUAUAACUAUAUAAUUAGCUUUUACUCUUUGUUCGAUUGAAUGAGAAAAAGUACUCGUUGCAAAGUUAUAAUUUUAGGGCGCAACUGAGUUGUCUAUUUUUGUUCCGGUUUUGGUUCUUGUGUAGGUCGACAUCGAUUCGUUCCAAAUUUACACUCUCGGGGCACAAUAGAACAAUAUAAUUAGCUUUUACUCUUUGUUCGAUUAAAUGAGAAAAAGUACUCGUUUCAAAGUUAUACUGUUAGGGCGCAACUGAGUAGUCUUUUUUGUUCCGGUUAUUGUUCUUUUAAAGGUUGACAUCAAUUCGUUGCAUAUUUACACUCUCGGGGUAUAAUAGAACAAUAUAAUUAGCUUUUGCUCUUUGUUCGAUUGAAUGUUAAAAAGUACUCGUCGCAAAGUUAUACUGUUAGGGCGCAACUGAGUAGUCUACUUUUGUUCCGGUUUAGGUUCUUUUGAAGGUUGACAUCCAUUCGUUCCAUAUUUACACUCUCGCGGUAUAAUAGAACAAUAUAAUUAGCUUUACUCUUUAUUCGAUUGAAUGAGAAAAAGUACUCGUCGCAAAGUUAUAUUGUUAGGGCGGAACUGAUUAGUCUUUUUUUGUUCCGGUUUUGGUUCUUGUGAAGGUUGACAUCGAUUCGUUCCAAAUUUACACUCUCCGGACACAAUAGAACAAUAUAAUUUGCUUUUACUCUCUGUUCGAUUAAAUGAGAAAUAGUACUCGUUGCAAAGUUAUGCUGUUAGGGCGCAUCUGAGUAGUCUACUUUUGUUCCAGUUUUGGUGUUUUUGAAGGUUGACAUCCAUUCGUACCAUAUUUACACUCUCGCGGUAUAAUAGAACAAUAUAAUUAGAUUUUACUCUUUGUUCGAUUGAAUAAGAAAAAGUACUCGUUCCAAAGUUAUACUGUUUGGGCGCAACUGAGUAGUCUAUUUUUGUUCCGGUUUUGGUUCUUAUGAAUGUUGACAUCGAUUCCAAAUUUACACUCUCGGGGCACAAUAGAACAAUAUAAUUAGCUUUAACUCUUUAUUGGAUUAAAUGAGAAAAAGUACUCGUUGCAAUGUUAUACUGUUAGGGCGCAACUGGGUAGUUUUUUUUGUUCCGGUUUUUGUUCUUUUAAAGGUUGACAUCAAUUCGUUCCAUAUUUACACUCUCGGGGUAUAAUAGAACAAUAUAAUUCGCUUUUACUCUUUGUUCGAUUGAAUGAUAAAAAGUACUCGUUACAAAGAUAUACAGUUAGGGCGUAACUGAGUAGUCUACUUUUGUUCCGGUUUAGGUUCUUUUGAAGGUUGACAUCCAUUCGUUCCAUAUUUACACUCUCGCGGUAUAAUAGAACAAUAUAAUUAUAUUUUACUCUUUGUUCGAUUGAAUGAGAAAAAGUACUCUUUGCAAAGUUAUACUGUUAGGGCACAAUUGAGUAGUCUAUUUUUGUUCCGGUUUUGGUUCUUGUGAAGGUUGACAUCGAUUCGUUCCAAAUUUACACUCUCGGGGCAUAAUAGAACAAUAUAAUUAGCUUUCGCUCUUUGUUCGAUUGAAUGAGAAAAAGUACUCGUCGCAAAGCUAUAUUGUUAGGGCGGAACUGAGUAGUCAUUUUUUGUUCCGGUUUUGGUUCUUGUGAAGGUUGACAUCGAUUUGUUCCAUAUUUACACUCUCGCGGUAUAAUAGAAUAAUAUAAUUAGCUUUUACUCUUUGUUCGAUUGAAUGUGAAAAUGUAUUCGUUGCAAAGUUAUACUGUUAGGGCGCAACUGAGUAGUCUAUUUUUGUUCCGGUUUUGGUUCUUGUGAAGGUUGACAUCGAUUCGUUCCAAAUUUACACUCUCAGGACAAAAUAGAACAAUAUAAUUAGAUUUUACUCUUUGUUCGAUUAAAUGAGAAAUAGUACUCGUUGCAAAGUUAUGCUGUUAGAGCGCAUCUGAGUAGUCUAUUUUUGUUACUGUUUUGGUUCUUUUAUAGGUUGACGUCAAUUCGUUCCAUAUUUACACUCUCGGGGUAUAAUAGAACAAUAUAAUUAGCUUUUACCCUUUGUUCGAUUGAAUGAAAAAAAGUACUCGUUGCAAAGUUAUACUGUUAGGGCGCAACUGAGUAGUCUAUUUUUGUUCCGGUUUUCGUUCUUGUGAAUGUUGAUAUCGAUUCGUUCCAAAUUUACACUCUCGGGGCACAAUAGAACAAUAUAAUUAGCUUUAACUCUUUAUUCGAUUAAAUGAGAAAAAGUACUCGUUGCAAAGUUAUACUGUUAGGGCGCAACUGAGUAGUCUUUUUUUGUUCCGGUUUUGGUUCUUUUAAAGUUUGACAUCAAUUCGUUCCAUAUUUACACUCUCGGUGUAUAAUAGAACAAUAUAAUUAGCUUUUACUCUUUGUUCGAUUGAAUGAGAAAAAGUACUCGUCGCAAAGUUAUAUUGUUAGGGCGAAACUGAGUAGUGUUUUUUUGUUCCGGUUUUGAUUCUUGUGAAGGUUGACAUCGAUUCGUUCUAAAUUUACACUCUCUGGACACAAUAGAACAAUAUAAUUAGCUUUUACUCUUUGUUCGAUUAAAUGAGAAAUAGUACUCGUUGCAAAGUUAUACUGUUAGGGCACAACUGAUUAGUCUAUUUUUGUUCCGGUUUUGGUUCUUAUGAAUGUUGACAUCGAUUCGUUCCAAAUUUACACUCUCAGUACGCAACGAUAUACUGUUAGGGCGCAACUGAGUAGUGUAUUUUUGUUCCAGUUUUGGUUCUUGUGAAGGUUGACAUCGAUUCGUUCCAAAUUGACAUUCUCUGGGCAUAAUUAGAACAAUAUAAUUUGCUUUUACUCUUUGUUCGAUUGAAUGAGAAAAAGUACUGGUCGCAAAGUUAUAUUGUUAGGGCGGAACUGAGUAGUCUUUUUUUGUUCCGGUUUUGGUUCUUGUGAAGGUUGACCUCGAUUCGUUCCAAAUUUACACUCUCCGGACACAAUAGAACAAUAUAAUUAGCUUUUACUCUCUGUUCGAUUAAAUGAGAAAUAGUACUCGUUGCAAUAUUAUACUGUUAGGGCGCAUCUGAGUAGUCUCCUUUUGUUCCGGUUUUGGUGUUUUUGAAGGUUGAUAUCCAUUCGUACCAUAUUUACACUCUCGCGGUAUAAUAGAACAAUAUAAUUAGAUUUUACUCUUUGUUCGAUUGAAUAAGAAAAAGUACUCGUUGCAAAGUUAUACUGUUAGGGCGCAACUGAGUAGUCUAUUUUUGUUCCAGUUUUGGUUCUUGUGAAUGUUGACAUCGAUUCGUUCCAAAUUUACACUCUCGGGACACAAUAGAACAAUAUAAUUAGCUUUAACUCUUUAUUGUAUUAAAUGAGAAAAAGUACUCGUUGCAAAGUUAUACUGUUGGGGUGCAACUGAGUAGUCUUUUUUUGUUCCGGUUUUGGUUCUUUUAAAGGUUGACAUCAAUUCGUUCCAUAUUUACACUCUCGGGGUAUAAUAGAACAAUAUAAUUAGCUUUUACUCUUUGUUCGAUUGAAUGAUAAAAAGUACUCGUUACAAAGUUAUACAGUUAGGGCGUAACUGAGUAGUCUACAUUUGUUCCGGUUUAGGUUCUUUUGAAAGUUGACAUCCAUUCGUUCUAUAUUUACACUCUCGCGGUAUAAUAGAAUAUUAUAAUUAGAUUUUACUCUUUGUUCGAUUGAAUAAGAAAAAGUACUCGUUGCAAAGUUAUACUGUUAGGGCACAAUUGAGUAGUCUAUCUUUGUUCCGGUUUUGGUUCUUGUGUAGGUUGACAUCGAUUCGUUCCAAAUUUACACUCUCAGGACACAAUAGAACAAUAUAAUUAGCUUUUCUCUUUAUUGGAUUAAAUGAGAAAAAGUACUCGUUGCAAAGUUAUACUGUUAGGGCGCAACUGAGUAGUCUUUUUUUGUUCCGGUUUUUGUUCUUUUAAAGGUUGACAUCAAUUCGUUCCAUAUUUACACUCUCGGGGUAUAAUAGAACAAUAUAAUUCGCUUUUACUUUUUGUUCGAUUUAAUAAUAAAAAGUACUCGUUACAAAGUUAUACAGUUAGCGCGUAACUGAGUAGUCUACUUUUGUUCCGGUUUAGGUUCUUUCGAAGGUUGACAUCCAUUCGUUCCAUAUUUACACUCUCGAGGUAUAAUAGAACAAUAUAAAUAGGUUUUUCUCUUUUGUUCGAUAGAUUGAGAAAAAGUACUCGUCGCAAAGUUAUACUGUUAGGACGUAACUGAGUAUUCUAAUGUUGUUCCGAUUUUUGUUCUUGUGAUUGACAUCAAUUCGUUCCAUAUUUACACUCUCGGGGUAUAAUAGAACAAUAUAAUUAGCUUUUACUCUUCGUUCGAUUGAAUGAUAAAAAGUACUCGUUGCAAAGUUAUACUGUUAGGGCGCAACUGAGUAGUCUACUUUUGUUCGGUUUAGGUUCUUUUGAAGGUUGACAUCCAUUCGUACCAUAUUUACACUCUCGCGGUAUAAUAGAACAAUAUAAUUAGAUUUUACUCUUUGUUCGAUUGAAUAAAAAAAAGUACUCGUUCCAAAGUUAUAUUGUUUGGGCGCAACUGAGUAGUCUAUUUUUGUUCCGGUUUUGAUUCUUGUGAAGGUUGACAUCGAUUCGUUCCAAAUUUACACUCUCGGGGCACAAUAGAACAUUAUAAUUAGCUUUAACUCUUUAUUGGAUUAAAUGAGAAAAAGUACUCGUUGCAAAGUUAUACUGUUAGGGCUCAACUGAGUAGUCUAUUUUUGUUCCGAUUAUUGUUCUUUUAAUGGUUGACAUCAAUUCGUUCCAUAUUUACACUCUCGGGUUAUAAUAGAACAAUAUAAUUCGCUUUUACUCUUUGUUCGAUUGAAUGAUAAAAAGUACUCGUUACAAAGAUAUACAGUUAGGGUGUAACUGAGUAGUCUACUUUUGUUCCGGUUUAGGUUCUUUUGAAGGUUGACAUCCAUUCGUUCUAUAUUUACACUCUCGGGGUAUAAUAGAACAUUAUAAUUAGAUUUUACUCUUUGUUCGAUUGAAAGAUAAAAAGUACUCGUCGUAAAGUUACAUUGUUAGGGCGGAACUGAGUAGUCAUUUUUUGUUCCUUUUUUGGUUCUUGUGAAGGUUGACCUCGAUUCGUUCCAAAUUUACACUCUCGGGGCACAAUAGAACAAUAUAAUUAGCUUUUACUCUUUGUUCGAUUAAAUGAGAAAAAGUACUCGUUGCAAAGUUUUACUGUUAGGGCGCAACUGAGUAGUCUUUUUUUGUUCCGGUUUUGGUUCUUUUGAAGGUUGACAUCCAUUCGUUCCAUAUUUACACUCUCGCGAUAUAAUAGAACAAUAUAAUUAGCUAUUACUCUUUGUUCGAUUGAAUGAGAAAAAGUACUCGUUGCAAGUUAUCCUGUUAGGGCGCAACUGAGUAGUCUAUUUUUGUUCCAGUUUUGGUUCUUGUGAAGUUUGACAUCGAUUCGUUCCAAAUUUACACUCUCGGGGCAUAAUAGAACAAUAUAAUUUGCUUUUACUCUUUGUUCGAUUGAAUGAGAAAAAGUACUGGUCGCAAAGUUAUAUUGUUAGGGCGGAACUGAGUAGUCUUUUUUUGUUCCGGUUUUGGUUCUUGUGAAGGUUGACCUCGAUUCGUUCCAAAUUUACACUCUCCGGACACAAUAGAACAAUAUAAUUAGCUUUUACUCUCUGUUCGAUUAAAUGAGAAAUAGUACUCGUUGCAAUAUUAUACUGUUAGGGCGCAUCUGAGUAGUCUCCUUUUGUUCCGGUUUUGGUGUUUUUGAAGGUUGAUAUCCAUUCGUACCAUAUUUACACUCUCGCGGUAUAAUAGAACAAUAUAAUUAGAUUUUACUCUUUGUUCGAUUGAAUAAGAAAAAGUACUCGUUGCAAAGUUAUACUGUUAGGGCGCAACUGAGUAGUCUAUUUUUGUUCCAGUUUUGGUUCUUGUGAAUGUUGACAUCGAUUCGUUCCAAAUUUACACUCUCGGGACACAAUAGAACAAUAUAAUUAGCUUUAACUCUUUAUUGUAUUAAAUGAGAAAAAGUACUCGUUGCAAAGUUAUACUGUUGGGGUGCAACUGAGUAGUCUUUUUUUGUUCCGGUUUUGGUUCUUUUAAAGGUUGACAUCAAUUCGUUCCAUAUUUACACUCUCGGGGUAUAAUAGAACAAUAUAAUUAGCUUUUACUCUUUGUUCGAUUGAAUGAUAAAAAGUACUCGUUACAAAGUUAUACAGUUAGGGCGUAACUGAGUAGUCUACAUUUGUUCCGGUUUAGGUUCUUUUGAAAGUUGACAUCCAUUCGUACCAUAUUUACACUCUCGCGGUAUAUUAGAACAAUAUAAUUCGAUUUUACUCUUUGUUCGAUUGAAUAAAAAAAAGUACUCGUUCCAAAGUUAUACUGUUUGGGCGCAACUGAGUAGUCUAUUUUUUUUCCGGUUUUGGUUCUUGUGAAUGUUGACAUCGAUUAGUUCCAAAUUUACACUCUCGGGGCACAAUAGAACAAUAUAAUUAGAUUUAACUCUUUAUUGGAUUAAAUGAGAAAAAGUACUCGUUGCAAAGUUAUACUGUUAGGGCGCAACUGAGUAGUCUUUUUUUGUUCCGGUUUUUGUUCUUUUAAAGGUUGACAUCAAUUCGUUCCAUAUUUACACUCUCGGGGUAUAAUAGAACAAUAUAAUUCGCUUUUACUUUUUGUUCGAUUUAAUAAUAAAAAGUACUCGUUACAAAGUUAUACAGUUAGCGCGUAACUGAGUAGUCUACUUUUGUUCCGGUUUAGGUUCUUUCGAAGGUUGACAUCCAUUCGUUCCAUAUUUACACUCUCGCGGUAUAAUAGAAUAAUAUAAUUAGAUUUUACUCUUUGUUCGAUUGAAUGAGAAAAAGUACUCGUUGCAAAGUUAUAUUGUUAGGGCGGAACUGAGUAGUCUUUUUUUGUUCCGUUUUUUGUUCUUGUGAAGGUUGAUAUCGAUUCGUUCCAAAUUUACACUCUCAGGACACAAUAGAAAAAUAUAAUUAGCUUUUACACUUUGUUCGAUUGAAUGAGAAAAAGUACUCGUUGCAAAGUUAUACUGUUAGGACGCAACUGAGUAGUCUUUUUUGUUCCGGUUAUUGUUCUUUUAAAGGUUGACAUCAAUUCGUUGCAUAUUUACACUCUCGGGGUAUAAUAGAAUAAUAUAAUU